rnacentral:lncRNA from 1 species
UGGGGAGAGUCAAGAGGGGAAGGGAAGCGGGAGUCGGGGUGCGAGCCUGCCCUUUCCCCCGCCGAGGGCCUGUGCGGGGCGCGGCGGCCGCGCCAACUCCGGCGUCGGGAACACUCACCGCAGGACGCUUUGCCCUCCUUGGAAUCGCAGUAGCCGCAGUGGUAGCCGGCCCUGAGGCCCUUGUAUUCCACCACCGACGCCAUGGCCGCCGCGAGGGUCCGCUCGGGCCGACCACGCCUCUUGGCGCCCGGGGCCGACCUCGGCGAAGCGCUGGGGCCCGCGGCGGGAGGGGUGGAGAGCGAAGCCUGGCGCGGGGACCCGUGGGCGGGGAUGGUGGUCGUGUCCCCAAGCCCUGCGUUUGGGCCGGUGCUUCCCACAGCUGUGCGUUAUCAGCCCCAUUUCACAGUUUGCUAAAGCAGAGGCGUACUACUAUCAAUAGCAUCAAGAAAUGAUGAUGGAAGAAGCAUGGAAAUACAAUAUGGUUCCAAAAUGGGAAACUAAAAUAGAGGAAGAGGAAAAGAGAUCACAACGUGAGAAAACAGAAGAUACUAAAAAAUGGGACUAUCUAGUGCCUGAGAGGGAACUGAGUCUUACAAAGAAACAUAUACCAGGCUGAACAAACCAGAGGCCUCAGAGACCACAAACACCGACUGCUCCCUCAAAGAAUUCCCAGUGAAAUACUUUCCCCUAAAAUACUAACACGGGAAAAGGAUGGAAAGCAUGAAAAUAUCCAGAAAACACACAAAACUGAAACCAGUAAGCACAAGGUGGCAUGGACAAAGGAACAGAUGAAGGGACACCAAGACCGAAUGAUCUGAGGGAGAGAACUCAAAGCAAAGACACGCUCAGAAGCGCUCCAGCCCCGUUCCAUCUUUCCUAAAAUCUCAAGUGGAAAAAGAGAAGGUGAAAGAGUUUGAAUGGGUCACAGCUUAUCCAAUUUUGCAACCUUACCAGAAAGCACUUAGGAAAGUGAUGAUUCUGAUGGAGAAAUAAGAAAAAAGAGAGUAUAAAAUUAAGAAACCACUCUGAAGGGAGCUCUUGAGUAUGCCACCAUUUUUGAGAAGUCAACUAGAAAAAAAUAAGGUUUAAAUUAUUUUAUAUUUUUUAGACUAGCAUACUUUUAAUCAUUAAUGCAAUAAAACAUAUACUCCCCUGGUUUUUUUAAGUGCAUCAAACUGGCAAAAAUUAAAAAAGCCACAAGCACAGUAUUUCCAAGUGUUUCAGCUGGCUGUGUGACAACUCUAAAACUUAGUGACUUAAAGCAACCACCACUUUAUUAUAUCUCGCAGUUCUAUGUCAGGAAAUCAGACAGAGCUCAACUGGACAUUUCUGUCCCAUGAGGUACCACCAGAGCUGCCUGGGGAUAUUCAGGUGAUGACUGGGCUCAUCUGGAGGGUCCAAGAUGGCUUCCCCACAUGCCCUUGGCAGGGAAGGCUAGAAAGCUGGGCCUCCCUGGCCCAUCUCUCAUUUGCAGCUCUCCAUGUGGUUUCAGUGCCACGUGGUAGUUGGACUUAUUAUUCGGUGACUCACGACUCCACGAAUGUGUAUUCCAAGAGGCCUGUUGGAAGCUAGAAGGCUUCUUAUGACUUAGCCUCACAAGUCCCAGAACAUCACUUCUGUAUUCUACUGGUCACAUAAGUCACCAAGACCAGCUUAAAUCCAAGGAAAGGGAAAGCGGACUCCUAUCAAAAAAACUUUGGGCUGGGCAUGGUGGCUCCCACCUAUAAUCCCAGCACUUUGAGAGGCUGAGGCAGGCGUUAUCACUUGAGGUCAGGAGUUCAAGACCAGCCUGGCCAACAAGGUGAAACCCCAUCUCUACUAAAAAUACAAAAAAAAGUAAGACGGGUGUGGUG